rnacentral:rRNA from 1 species
AAUUAACGCUGGCGGCAUGCCUAACACAUGCAAGUCGAGCGAGAAACCUCGGUUCGCCGGGGGAGUACAGCGGCGCACGGGUGAGUAGCGCGUGGGUAAUCUACCUUCGCCUGGGGGAUAACCCACCGAAAGGUGGGCUAAUACCGCAUAAUCCGGCGGGUUAUGGGACCUGUCGGCAAAGGUGGCCUCUUCAUGAAAGCUGCCGGGUAAAGAUGAGCCCGCGUCCCAUUAGCUAGUUGGUAGGGUAAUGGCCUACCAAGGCGACGAUGGGUAGCUGGUCUGAGAGGACGACCAGCCACACUGGAACUGGAACACGGUCCAGACUCCUACGGGAGGCAGCAGUGGGGAAUAUUGCGCAAUGGGGGAAACCCUGACGCAGCGAUGCCGCGUGGGAGAGGAAGGCCUUCGGGUCGUAAAGCCCUGUCAGGCGGGAAGAAUUAGUUCUCGGUGAAUAGCCGGGGACUUUGACGGUACCGCCGAAGGAAGCACCGGCUAACUCCGUGCCAGCCGCCGCAGUAAGAC